AGAAUCAGCUCCUUCCUCUCCUUCUCAAAUCUCCAGCAAAGUGCUCUGCUAGGGCACAAUAUUCGUUCAUCUCCGAGCUAGCAAAAUCUUUCUCACCUUCAACUCACUGCUCUAGCCCUUGGAGCUGACGUACUUCUUAGUUGGGAGUCUGUUGCGUUUUUUUAGCAUCUAAGCAAGAUAAGGGAAGCUAGUAUUCUUCAUCUUUCGUUAUGGAAAUACUUCUGGAGGUAGGCCUGAUGGUGGUAGUGGUGCAGCUUAGUGGGCUCGUUGAUAUGGCCCUCAAAGGACGAUUCUAUGGCCCUAGUGCCUUUAUAAUCCCUUGCUCUAGGAGCUUUUCUUUUGCAUAAUUGUGAACCUUGUUAUUUCUGUUUUGGCUAUGGCAUGGUUAUAGAACCCCUUUCAAGUACUCCUAUGGAUGACUGUAAAGGCAUAUUCCUUGUUUUUGGUGUUCAUCUGUUAACCUUGCUCUUUAUUAUUAUAAA